GACGAACGCUGGCGGCGUGCUUAACACAUGCAAGUCGAACGGAAAGGCCCUGCUUGCAGGGUACUCGAGUGGCGAACGGGUGAGUAACACGUUGGUGAUCUGCUCUGCACUUCGGGAUAAGCCGGGGAAACUGGGUCUAAUACCGGAUAGGAGCCAUUUUCAGUGUGAUGGUUGGAAAGUUUUUUCGGUGUAGGAUGAGCUCGCGGCCUAUCAGCUUGUUGGUGGGAUAAUGGCCUACCAAGGCGGCGACGGGUAGCCGGCCUGUGAGGGUGGGCGGCCACAUUGGGACUGAGGGAAGGCCGAGACUCGUAAGGGAGGCAGAAGGGGGGAAGAUUGCACAAUGGGCGCAAGCCUGAUGAAGCGACGCCGCGUGGGGGAUGACGGCGUUCUGGUUGAAGACUACUUUCGCGAGGGACGAAGCUUUUUGUGACGGUACCUAGAGAAGAAGCACCGGCUAACUACGUG
rnacentral:rRNA from 1 species